rnacentral:rRNA from 1 species
CCUACGGGAGGCAGCAGUGGGGAAUAUUGGACAAUGGGCGAAAGCCUGAUCCAGCAAUGCCGCGUGUGUGAAGAAGGCCUUCGGGUUGUAAAGCACUUUAAGUUGGGAAGAAAAAGCUCUGGCUAACAUCUAGAGCCUUGACGGUACCAACAGAAUAAGCACCGGCUAACUCUGUGCCAGCAGCCGCGGUAAUACAGAGGGUGCUAGCGUUAAUCGGAUUUACUGGGCGUAAAGCGUGCGUAGGCGGUUUGAUAAGUCGAUUGUGAAAGCCCCGGGCUUAACCUGGGAAUUGCAGUUGAUACUGUCAGACUAGAAAACGGUAGAGGGAGCGGAACUCCAGGUGUAGCGGUGAAAUGCGUAGAUAUCUGGAAGAACACCGAUGGCGAAGGCAACCUCCUGGGCCUGUUUUAGACGCUGAGGCACGAAAGCGUGGGUAGCAAACCAGGAUUAGAUACCCUGGUAGUCCACGCCGUAAACGAUGAGACUUGACGUUGGUUGNUGUACAAUACGUGUCGUGACUACGCGAGUAGUUACGUCCGUCCGUCGGGUAGGUACGGCCGGCCGUAAGGUUAGUAACGUUACGAAAGGUAAGUUAGUUACGGACGUUGAGACGNGCGACGGACGACGACGAGGGAGGAGG